GGGGGGGGAAGAAUAUGCGGGUUUAUAAAGGCAUGUCGGGGGGUGUAGUCCUAGAUUGGACAUGUUGGACCAUGGAGGUGUCCAAGAGCCAAUUGAACGUGGCACUGAGGGACAUAGUGAUACAGCAGGGAUGGGCUGAUGGAUGGACUUGACCUUAGUGGUCUUUUCCAACCUUAAUGAUUCUGUGGGCAAAGGCAAACUUUGCAGCUGGGCAGGCACAAGGGCUAUGUUUAAGCUAGGAUCAAAUGUUACCAUUGGAAAUUAUUUUUCUUUUGUUGAUGUGGGUAAUAUUUCAUGUGGAUAUUAAACUCAUGAGCAGAUAGAAAACUUAUAAUUAGUAUCACCUAUCAAACUUGGUCAACGUUGGGACUGAAAUACAUUCUAUGAUUCAUCAAAUAAGUAGUCUUUCUUGAUCAUAGAAUAAUCAGAUAUAAAACUUGUAAAUUAUAAUUUGUAUCACCUAUCAAACUUGGUCAAAGUUGGGAAUGAAAUACAUUCUAUUAUUCAUCAAAUAAGCAGUUUUUCUUCUCUAGUUUUAAAAUCCAUGUUAAAUUUAAUAAGUGUGGAACAAUACAUGCUGUCACAUGGGAGUGCUGACUUUAAUUAUUUGCUUUUAAAUAGGAAAGACACGUAGCCAGCAAUUUUCUGAGAGGAUGCUUCAAGCUAUUUCUUUGUAAAUGCUGUAUAGUCCAAAGAAACCCACGGAAAUCUAAUCCAGAUGAUUCAAGGCCGCUUCUUCAUAAAUGAGCAUCUUAUGAAGCCAAGGCCAUGCAAAGCAGUGUCAAAACAAUAAAACAAUAUAAUACCCUAAACUAUCUAUCUUCUAAGCAACAAUCAGUCAAAGCCGAGUUUGAAACUGUCUGGAAUUCAGGAGCCGGUCGAGAGUGAAGUGGCCGCUGGGUGUCAGAGCUGUACCGACUCCGUACUCAUUGCACGGGAGCUGUGGGUUUCUGCUGCAAGAUCAAAAGGAACAGAGUAGAUGAGGCAGAUGCACCAAUAGAGGGUGGUAGUGACUGUCCCCUUCAAGGUAUAGCCGUGUUUUCACGUUUCCUGUAGGCUCUUUGAAUGAAAAAGACAUAGCUGCCCCUCCAAAAAGGGGAAAGGAUUACUUUAAACGAUAACUGCAAUAAAAGCCCACACAGGUGAUGAAAUGAAGGGUGUCAUUUAUAUAUAUAUAUAUACAUAUAUAUAUAUUUAAGAAAUUCCUCUAUUCUUAACCAUAUUCAUUUAUUCUGCAAGUACAAUAGUGCAAAAAAAUUGUUGGAAGUUGUGGUAGCCUAAAAUGAAUGAAGAUCUCUUGUGAGAGAAAUUAAAUAAGGACAAUAAAUUAACGUAUUUAUGUGGGAAAUGACAUUUCUUCUGAACUUUGUUGCUUCUACUGUAACUGGAUUCUUAAAUCCCUACUUACAGAGCUCAUGUUACAAAUGAGCAAUAUUAGGCUGCAGAAAUUACCUGUCAUAGGUUGCAUGCUCUUUUUGUGCGUAUUUUUUACCUUGGAUUUCCUGUGUCAGCACAUACACCGUGAAAUCCUUUCAGUAGUGCAUGCAGUUUGUCAAGUGUUGUCAUAGCCUACAAACAUAAACAGCCUCAGGAAAUGCUGCUUUUGGCCCUGAAACAGGUGGAAGAUCUUUUUGCUGUUUUUUCUCAGAGGUCCUGUGAAAACCUUUUUUCAUAAGCACGUAUCUUUCUUCACAUUGUCUUGCGUAAGCUCCUCUAAUUUAUUCCCCUCAGUGUCAUAACUAUGGCUCUGCUCCAGUGCAAGAAUAACGCCUUAAUUCUGUGGCCACUAGCAGGCUUUGGGAGUGAUCCUGAGAUGGGGGAAAUGCAGUCACUGGAAGCACUGUUGAAUUUUAAACAUUCACCUCUAGACCAAACACUAGAAAAUGUGUUUUGCUAUUGCUUUGAAAGCAUGAAUUUAUAGUGUGGGUAUACCCAGAUAUCUGAAAGCUGCUUUUAGGGUUGUGCUGCUGAUUCUUAGCCAAGAAGAAGAACAGGAAAGAAGCAAUAGGAAAGGAAGCAAUACUGUGUAUCCUGCCAUUCAAGCGCACACUUCAAACUGUGCGUCAGUGUUUUGGAGGAGAAUAUCAUAUUUUAAAUCAGCCUGCAACAUUUCUCUCUCAUGUCAGAUACAAAAUUCACUGCUGGAAAAUCAUCUUGUCCUGAGGUUCAGGAGAAGUAGCAUUUAGUGCUGGGCAGCAACACGCUCAGUCUUUGAUAUAGUGUGUCUGGAGCUGGGACAGGAGGCUUUUGUACUGAGCAGUUUGAACCUGUUGGAAAUUAAAUGUAAAAAUGAAAAUCCUAAACUUCUUUUAGUGUCAGUUUCAGAACUUUUAGAUUAUUUUUGUUUUGUUUUCAUUUCAUUGUAUCCUUAUGCAAAACUCCUUGAAGUAUUUCUGAAAUAGUAUGUUCUAAAGCACAUUGAUGAUGCAAUCUAAAAGUCUUGAUAAUGUGACCUGGCACUGCACAAGACCCUUCACUAUCAAAAUGAGCAUGUGUAUGACCUGCCUUCAGUGUCCCUUGCCUGGGAGCAGCUUACAGAAUGCAGUGUCUGUCUAGCAGCUUCAGCACUGCACUGCUUGCUUGUGAAUGUUAGCAUAUCACUGUGCUCCUUCUGCAUAUGUCUGAGUAACAGCUACGUGCCUUAGGUCUGCUCUACAGUUCGAUUAGCUGAAUUCAGAAGUUAAAAGCCAUUUCCUAAUGUGGUGUAGGAGCACCGUAAAAGUAGAGUCACAGUAGUAGUCACUAGCACAGUGCUUACAGGUGGGACUCUGAAAUUCCACAAGCUGAGAAAUGAGGAGCAUUGCUACCAGGAGCACAUCUGGGCUCCAGGACAGUCAGUGAUCAUUUGCUAUCUUAGAGGAAAGAUUUGUUUUCCAAAGCCAUUACUUAAGAAGAUAAAAAAUCCCUCCACUAAUAUGAGUCCCCUUCAAGCUGAAUAUAGAGCUUGUAGUGUGUCGGGUGAAUUGAAAUUGCUUGUGUCCACGUGCGUUUUCGUAGUGGGGAAGGAUUGUUCUUUUCAUAUGUUUUGAAAUAAAAUGAAUUGAUAGUAAUAAAUGCAACAAAACUAUAAAAGACUGCAAGACUAUCCAAGAUGCAGCUGUACUCGGACUGAAUUUUUCUCUGCCUUUGCUUCAUUCACUCCACAUAAACUGUCACAGCUCACGCAAUUAAUAAUUGUGUCCAAUAAGGUAUGCAAGAGUAGGAGUGUUGAAAGACAAAUCUUCAAAUAAGCCUUAGAGAAGAUACCAGAAAUUCAUGUGAGCUUAAAUUAGAAGAAAUUGCUUUGAACAUUGAGUAGUUCUGUGUAUCAUGUUACUAUCUUCUUCCAAUGUGCAGGGUAGAGUUAAGGACACAGGAGGUGAUUUUCCUUUUCUGAGUUUGACUCUUGCCGCUGAUUAGUGCAGCUCUCAUUUUUUUAUUUACCAUGUAAGUGUAAUGUUUUAAACACACUGAUUUCUUCAGGACAGUACUUUAAAGUGUGCUCUGUGAAGAAGCCUAUCUGUAAGUAGGUUUUUUUUCCCAUUCCAGCUCCCCUCUGCAUACAUGCACACAUUUCACCUCUCUCUGCAGUAAGCAUGGAGAACAUCAGUGUCAUAAACCUUCCCUUGACAGAAGUCCAGCAUGUGUGCAAGGGUAAAGCUCAUCUGCUAAUGCACAGCUGAAAAAUAACAGCAGGAGAAGUGAGGAGACAGUGGCAUCAGGGAGUCAUCCACUAAUCUGUCUGAUGCUGGCAGAGGGUAUUGUAGUAGUUCAUGCUAAGAGAUGCCAGUCUGUGAGUUGCUCAUGCAGCAGACAGCAAAGGAGAGGGGGGAGGGGAAGCAGUAGUGGCUGUUGGGGAAAUUAAUGCUAUUACAGAAAAAAGAAUCUAACUGUUCCUUCCUUGUGUCUCUAGGAAGAGGAGAGCCAGUAACUGUCAGCUAACCACUUGUUUCUCAACUUCCUCACAUGAAAGGAGAAAUGGGCAUGACCCUCUUGCAUUUAAUACAAAAGAAUAGCUUCAUUCGCCACUAAUAAUGCAAUAUAGUACAUCUCACUUUCAGCUUUAUUGAAAUAUCAUUUUAAAUUAAAUUUAGGGCAUAUAGAACAGAUUUUUUUUACUGUGAAAAAAAAAAAUGCACAUGUUCCAAGGACAUAAGAUAAAUGGCUUCCUGCUCACAGGUUUAUUUCCUGGGAAUAUCUUGUUUGUCAGAAGCUGAACAGUUUGGAAUGUACCAGAGCCUGAGAAUAUAAAGAAAGUAAAUUCAGAUUAUUAAGACUUGGCAAGAAAUAAGCCACUGAAAGGAAGAGAGUUACAAUCAAGAUUGGGCAAGACUCAUAAUGUACGAUGAUAGCCAUCACACCCAUACAUUUUGGCAUGCGAUUUAAGAGCAUGAGAGAGAACUGUUGAUUUUGGAAAGCAAACAUAUGCAAGGAGUGCAAGGAGUGCAGCAGAAAGAUUUUAUCUGUUUUAGAUGUAGCCAUUCCCCACACCUCAGCAUCACGCAGACUGAGAAACCUUGAACUGGAUAGAAUCCAAACAACUGCUGAACUAAGUACUGUCAAAACCAGGCCCUCAGAAAUCACCCAAACCUGGAAACAUUUAAGUGAGGUUUUGAAACUGUUGGGGAUUAUGCUGAUGUUUAUGGGGUUUUUUUGUUUGUUUAUUUGCUUCCUUGCUUUGUUUUGUUGUUGUUUUGUUCUGUUGCAUUUUUAGAUUCUAUAUUUCACCUCGUUUGUGUUUGCUUUUCUCUGUGUUAGAAAGAGUUUAUUUACAUGAUAUUUGAAAGCACUUAUUGUUAGAGAAUUAAAGCCAUACUUUUCAUGUAUUCAAGUGACUGCAGGAACAGAAGCUCUAAGAAAAGUGGUGGUCAUUGUGAAAGCUGUCAGCACUGGGGGUAUGAUCUGGGACUCAACAGGACAUGCAUCAGUCAUACAGAGGACUGCUGAUACAGCAGUCAUGAAGAACAGGCAUUUUGACACUCACAUACUGCAGGCAUUAAGGAUCAGAUAUUUGAAGUGUGAAGAUGAUUGGCAACAAUCAUUUGUACCUGACACCUCAAAAGGAUCAAAUGUGAGGGGUAAGGACAUGCAGAAUAAAGGCUAAAUUUAUCACACUUCAACUGACUGCUGCAGGAUGGAUUGGUCUUCUCAGUGGAGAAGAGCCGUGGGGAUGCUGAGUCAUAAACUUGCCUGCAUAAUUAGAAGGGUGAAACAAGUUUGUUGAGUGACUCAAUUUGCAAUUUGAUACCAGACUCAUUCCCACAUGCACAUGCACCUGUAUUUUGGAACAGUAAGGGCAGGUAAUUACAGUUUGAAUCAUUUCAGUGGCACCCAUGGAAUUUCUCCUUCAGAAACACUCUUCUGCUCAAUUUCUGUUCCAUAAUCCCUGGCGUCCAGAUGAGCACUUACUAUGAAACUCCAGAGAAAUACAUCUGUGUUUUCCUUUACAGCUAAAACCAAUCAACAAUAGUUUUCUUGCUGAUCCUUAAGUAGAGCUUAGAGUGGUAUCUUAGGUUUAGAAAAGAAGAUGAAUCUUCUG